AGUGUUUGUGUUGUGGUUUUGGGGGAGGGAGGCGGAGGGGAAAGUUUGUUUAUUUUGUUUUUAGUUUCUGGGGUCCCCGAGCUUCGGGAAGGUGAAGCGAGCGACAGUGAUCCCCCUCGCCUCUCAGCCUCCCCGCGACGUUGCCGCCACAGCUUGCGGAGAAGCGGAGACCGCGGUCACCGCCGGGCUCCACCGCGGAAGGACGCGCACUCCGAGCCGGCGCGGCUCAGCGGGUUUUGGCUUUUUGCACUGAAUGUAACCUAGACUGUUCGUCUCAGUUGCCCCAGGAUACUGUCAGAGGCAGUGUUUGUGUGUGUCUGCAGAGUUUUGCACAGAGUCUGUUCCCAUGCAAACCAAUGAGGGAGAAGUAGAGGAAGAAAGCAGCUCCCAGGUGGAACAGGAGGAUUUUGUAAUGGAAGGGCAUGGCAAGACGCCACCUCCUGGAGAAGAGAGCAAACCGUGAGUCACAGUUUAUUAAAAGGGUCCUAUUACAGCUCCCCAGAAGCAGUUGGUUCAGGGCGCUGAGAGCAGGUUCGCUGGGCUGUGUACACUUGGGAGAUCCUGCAGAGCAGGCCAGUUGCUUUGUUGAUGCAUUACUUCUAUUUAUAGAUGAACGAGAGGGACAAGAAAGUUGGCUUUGUUGUUUUUCACACUUGGCUAAUCAGAAUUUAUGUUACGUUUCAGCAAAAGCUUUACGGCUCAGGAUGUUCCAAAUUGAACUAAUUAAGUUUGGGUGUUUUCCAAAGAAAGUAUGAAAUGGCGCUUCCUUUCCUUAGCCAGGUCUUCAUGAAGGAGGCUCACUGCACACUCCAAGUGUGGGAUUGUCUGCACACUACUUCCUGAAAUUCAAUUCCAGUGAUAAUUGAAACUUCUGAUCACUAUUAAAAUAAAGUUUUUAUCUGAUGAAACAGAAGCUAAAAAUACUAUGACUUAGCCAACAUUCUUAGUAGUUCAGGAUUUAUCUCUUCCCCACUUCUGAAAAAGCAGCUGGUUUUGAACUUCAAUUUGGGACCUUUGGUAUAGCUUUUUAGUGGCUGUAAAUAGAUCUUAUUUUCCCUUAAUCUGUCAUAGAAUUGAGAAAAUGGUGUUUCAAAGCAGACUGGUUUUUCAUAUGCCCUUUUAAAGGAAAAACACUUAAGAUGGACUUAAAGCACUGACAUAACUCCAAGUUGUAUUUAGACAGUAGUUUCCUAAAUUGAAUGCGAUGGUGAUUCAUGAAAUUUACCAAAAUCUGUAAAGAAAACUCCUCUUCUUGGUCCUUCUCCCCCUUUUUUGCUUUCCUAGAAAAUAGUUUAAUUUAUUUUGGUGGAUCUUAAGAAAAUGAUGUUUCCUAAACCCUUAGGAAUGAAUUAUGCAGACUAGACUGCUGCCAGGAGGCCAGAUUCAUUAAAGGGGAAUGCCUUGUCUUAUGUUUGUUGUGAAUGGAAACCAGGAGAUCUUCACAGCCCUUUAAUUUGCUAAGCUAACAGUUUUAAAAAUAGCUCACAGUAUAAUCCUAACUUUGCUCCAUUCUGUCUACUGCACUUUCAUUUUAGAUGAGCUGAUGGCAUCAAUUCCUCUUUAGGGAAUUAGAAUGCCAGACACCUAUUUGGUUCCGUGAAAAGGGAAGAGAAAUACUUUUCUCCAUGGCUCCCACCCACUCUUCUACCCCACAAAAUUGCCCUAUAAAAAUCACAGUUCCAUUUGUCAAGGGCUUCCUGUAUUCACAGUAGAUACAUGUCAUCUUACUGGCUCAGUUUUUUUGUUUUUUGUUUUGUUUUUUUCUUUAAAGAUGUACUUAUUUUAUGUGUGUGUGUGUUUUGUCUGCAUGUAUGUCUAUGC